AACGGGUAUACAAGUCGGUGAUACUUUCUUUUAAAGACAAGUACAAAAAUGAAACUUAAUAAUUUUAAAACCAUCAAAAUUUAUACAGUACUAAUUAUAAGCUUUACAAUUGUUUUACAUAAAAAUAAAUAACCAAUAUAAAGAAUAUAUAGAUCUUAACUUAUAAUUUAGUUAACUUUUUAUUAAUCUUACUAAUAUCC
rnacentral:lncRNA from 1 species